GUUUUGUCUGGGGCUCGUCCUGCUACAUUUCUUGGUUCCCUGAACAGGAAGCGAGGUAACUGACGGACGGCCAAGGCAGCCCCUUGGGUGGCUUAGGCCUGCCCUGUGGAGCAUCCCUGCGGUGGACUCUGGCCAGCCUGAGUGACGCGAUCCAAAGAGCGCUCCCGGGUAGGAAAUUCCCCGGGUGGAACGCCUCGCCAGAGCAGCACGUAGCAGGCCCCCGAGGAGGAUUAACACACUGGCUGAACACUGGGAAGGAACUGGCACUUGGAGUCCGGACAUCUGAAACUUGCAACCCACUCUCUGUGCUAUGACUUCAUUACUCUUUCCCAGCCCAGCCCUGGGCAAGCCCCUUACGAAGUCUCAGGCUACCUGGAUGACCACCCUUUCUUAUGAUGCUGCAAGGAGGGCAGGUGGGCAGAGCCCCGUGCAUCCUGGGCUCAGGCCAGGGACCCAAGAGCUUGGGAGAAGCUGGUUCUCAGACUGAAGGCCAGAGCCCAGCACCUUGUCACCAUCCCGGGGAGCAUCAUGGCACACAACAACCAGAGCCAAGGUGUGCAGAGAAGUCUACAUUCCCAUGUCAAAUUGACAGGCCUCGGAAGUCAAAAUAAGUGGUUUCCUAGACCGGGUCGAGAGCAAGUCUCUAUUGGUCCCAACUGAGUUUUUUCAGCUGGUUUUUCAACCAAACAGCACCUCAUCUCCCAGUGAGGGGAAGGGAAGGCUGGGCUGAGAGCAGCAAGGCUGCUCAUCUCACCUCUCCCCACCCAGCCAUGCCAGCCGCCUCACCUGGUGGGGAGAGGUGGGCCUCACCUGGGUCCCCUGGCAGUGCUCUGUGAAGGGUCUUGACAUUGCACUGUAAUAAUAAAGGUGUGUGUGAAGUAUC
rnacentral:lncRNA from 1 species